AUGGCUUCCACCAAGCUGAUCCUGUCCGCUGCCCUCGUCGUCCUCCUAAGCGUGGGGCUGUCCAGCGCCAUUAGGGUAGUGAACCACGCCGCCACCGCCGACGGCCAAGGCAGUGGAGGAGGAGGAGGCGGCGGGACCGGCAACAGCCAGGCCUCCGGCUAUGGGUCCGGCGAUGGCACCGCCGAGGCGUACGACCAGGACAACUACGCCUAUGGCUCCGGAGGCGGUGGCGGCCGUGGCCGUUGGCGAGGCCGCGACAAGUCCGCGGCUGGUUCCGGAGCUGGCGGCGCGUCCGGCUCGGGCCACGGAGACUCGAGUACCACGGACGCCGGCGGGUCUUCAACCAACGCGAAUGGCCAAGGAGGCGGUGGUGGCGCUGGGGGGAGCGAUGGCAAUGGCAGCGGCUCCGGCUACGGCGAUGGAAGCGGGUCAGGGGUAGGUGAGAACUAUGCACCGUAUGGUUCGAGCUACGCGAGCAGCGGAGGGGGCGGGGGUGGCGACGGUGGCGGCCGCAACGGUGGGUUUGCCGCUGGUUCUGGAGGUGGAUCAGGGAGCAGCAGCGGUGAAUCAACCCCGUAA
rnacentral:rRNA from 1 species